GAUGAACGCUGGCGGCGUGCCUAAUACAUGCAAGUCGAGCGAACAGACGAGGAACUUGCUCCUCUGACGUUAGCGGCGGACGGGGGAGUAACACGUGGAUAACCUACCUAUAAGACUGGGAUAAAUUCGGGAAACCGGAGCCAAUACCGGCUAAUAUAUUGAACAGCAUGGAUCAAUAGUGAAAGGCGGUUUUGCUGUCAAUUAUAGAUGGAUCCGCGCCGCAUUAGGUAGUCGGUAAGGUAACGGCGCACAACGGCGACGGUUCGUAGCUGAUCAGGGAGGAUGACCAGCCACCCUGGAACUGAGCCACGGUCCAGCCUCCUCCGGGUGGCAGCAGUGGGGAAUAUUGCACAAUGGGCGGAAGCCUGAUGCAGCGAUGCCGAGUGUAUAAAGAAGGCCUUCGGGUUGUAAAGCACUUUAAGAGGGGAGGAAGGGAGUAAAGUUAAUACCUUUGCUCAUUGACGUUACCCGAAGAAGAAGCACCGGCUAACUCCGUG
rnacentral:rRNA from 1 species